rnacentral:rRNA from 1 species
UUCCCCAGUAAUGGCGAAUGAACAGGGAUUAGCUCAGCAUUGAUAUUACGGCCCCUGGCCUUGAAUUGUAGUCUUGAGAUGUGCCGCCAAUGGAGGUGUAGAUGUAAGCCUUUUGGAAAAGAGCAGCGGAGAGGGUGAGACUCCUGUCUGUCAUCUACGGUCCGCCAUGUAUGGUGUACACUCUAAGAGUCACGUUCCUCGGGAUUGGAGCGCAAAGCGGGUGGUAAAUUUCAUCUACAGCUAUGUAUAGAUUCGAGACCGAUAGCAAACAAGUACCAUGAGGGAAAGAUGAAAAGGACUUUGAAAAGAGAGUUAAAAGUGCCUGAAAUUGCUGGAAGGGAAGCGACUUGAACCAGCCUCUGAGAGCAAGAUUGCUUAGUGUGAAAGUGAUGUCCUGCUGUGUGAGUGUAAGCCAUGCAGUGGGACGGAAACUGUCUGCGCUGGGUGUUUCUUGUUUUCGGUGUCAACAAAAGUUCAUGAGCAUGGAAGACUCCAAAGACAUGGGGGCAAACUUUCGGGUGAGCGAAUGUGUUUGGCGGAACCAGCUCAUGAUCAUAGUUUGUUGUGUCUGCUUUCUGCUCUGCCCGUUGUCCUUAUCUGUUGGACCAGUGUAGCAGCUAUUGACACCACC